UUUUUUUUUAACACACCCUUCUGCCAUGAUGCUCUGCCUUACCUUGGAGGACUGAGGAAUGGAGCCAGCUAUCUAUGGACUGAGACCUCUGAAACUGGUUGUGAAAAGUCAAGGAGAAAGAUGCAAAAGCACUUCCUGAACUAUCCAGUGCUGAACUAUCUGGGGGAGAUCAUGAUGAAGCCGAUGAAACGGGUGAUUGGAUGGAGAUGGCGACAAUGACGACGAUACCUAAGGGGAAAGUAAGAGCAAAAGAUAUGAAGCGUGAGAGAAGUUGGGGACAGAAAAGCCUUGGAACUGCUGGCUGAUGGACAGACUCCAGAUGUGUAGAAAUGGAUGGAACUCACAGUCCAGGUCCUCAUGGGAAGAAGCAGGCUGGAUCUGAAAGGAAAGAUGAAAUGCUCUGUAUGUGGGCUCGAGGUUCUUCCAGGCUUCAUUCUUGAGCAGGGCUGUGCAUCACUCUUGAGUCGAGAUCCAUCCCCCUCAACCCCCGCCUCCUCCAACUUUCAGCCCAUGGACUCAAGGGCUGAGGGUGUGACCCAGAUGUGGCUCAUCCUCUGGACACAGAUGGUCACAUAAUUUGAUGACAGCUGGUGCCACCAAGAGAAAUCCUUCAACUUCAGUGAUAGGCAUGAAGACUGAUCCCUCCUGUGAACCGUUCUUGACAGUUUGCAAAGCAUUUUUGCACUGAUUGCCUUAAUUCUCUCCACUCUUCCGAGAAGCAGGCAAAGCAGGAAUUGUCACUCCCAUUACACAGAGACGGCAGUGAGGGGCAGUGAGCCCAGGGUCCACAGCCAGGCAGUAGGAAUGCCACAAUGAGAAUCCUGGCUCUAGAGUUUCACUGCACUGAUAAUGUCGUGCUAAAUUGAACUCCAGUGAUGUCGAACUAAAUUACCCUAAAGUACCCCUGGAAAUAGCCUCUCAGAGUCAUAAUUCAUGCUGGGUAAUUACAAAAUAACUUUCUUCUUAUUAUUUCUCUACUUAUGUACCUCCAAGGGAAGGGCUGGUGAUAAAUGUCAGGGUUGGGACAAUUUAGAUAAUUAUUUGGAUAUCUGGCUGAUGGAUCCUUUUUUCACAGUGCUACUAUCUGUCUGCUUUUACCUCUGCUUGAUAACCAACCAAAUGGAGACCUUCCAUUUCACGUCCCCCACCUAGACAAAUUAUUUUGUAAAGAAGUUGCUGAGAGCUUUCCUCAUGCUCCAUUUUUUGGAGUGAUCUCACCACCCCGAUUCCUGCUCACCUGUCAGUUCUUGGCUUCAACACUACUGAUGCAGAGUGUUCUUGAGUUAUAAGAAAUCAAUUUUUUUCCUCCUUCAUCUUCAAUUUUGUUCACUUUAGGCUGUGUUAUAUGCUUCUUGCUUUCUACAUGUUAUGGUUUAGAUAUUAGGUGUCCCCUAAGAGCUCAUGGGUGACACAAUGCAAGAAGGCUUAGAGGUGAAUUAAUGGGUUAGGAGAGCCUUAACCCAACCAGUGAAUCAAUCCUCUGAUAGGGAUUAACUGGGUGGUAACCAUAGGCAGGUAGCAGGUGGCUUGAGCAGAUGGGUCAUUGAAGGUGUGACUUUAGGGUAUGUAUUUUGUCCCUGGAGAGCAGAGUCUCUCUCUCUCUCUCUGCUUCCUGGUGUGAUGUCUUGAGCUACUUUCUCCGCUUCACACUCUUGCCAUGGUGUUCUGCCUCACCUCAAGCCCCAAGAAAUGGAGUCAACCUGAGACCUCUGAAACUGUGAGCCCCAAAUAAACUUUUCCUCCUCUGA